GACGAACGCUGGCGGCGUGCUUAACACAUGCAAGUCGAACGAAGAGCGAUGGAAUCUUGCUUCUAUCACUCUUAGUGGCGAACGGGUGAGUAACGCGUAAUCAACCUGCCCUUCAGAGGGGGACAACAGUUGGAAACGACUGCUAAUACCGCAUACGAUCUAAUCUCGGCAUCGAGGAUAGAUGAACGGUGGCCUCGACAUGUAAGCUAUCACUGAAGGUGGGUGGUGCGGCUGUUUAGCUAGUGGGAGGGGUAACGGCCCACCAAGGCGAGGAUCAGUAGCCGGUCUGAGAUGAUGAGCGGCCAGAUUGGGACGGAGACACGGCCCAGACUGAUACAGGAGGGGGCAGUAGGGAAUCUUCCGCAAGCGGUGGAAGUCUGUCGGAGCUACGCGGCGUGCGGAAUGACGGCCUUCGGGUUGUAGAGGUCUGUUUACCGGGACGAAAGGGCUUCUUGCGAAUAGUGAGAAGGAUUGACGGUACCGGAAUAGAAAGCAACGGCUAACUACGUG
rnacentral:rRNA from 1 species